rnacentral:tRNA from 1 species
UCCAGAGUGGCGAAGUGGAAGCGUGCUGGGUCCAUAACCCAGAGGUCGUGGAUCGAAACUAUGCUCUGAAG